rnacentral:rRNA from 1 species
AUUGAACGCUGGCGGAAUGCUUUACACAUGCAAGUCGAACGGUAGAGGGGCAACCCUUGAGAGUGGCGAACGGGUGAGUAAUGUAUCGGAACAUGCCCAGUCGUGGGGGAUAACGUAGCGAAAGUUACGCUAAUACCGCAUACGAUCUAUGGACGAAAGCGGGGGAUCGCAAGAGCUCGCGCUAUUGGAGUGGCCGAUAGCAGAGUACGUAGUUGGUGGGGUAAAGGUCUACCCAGCCGACGAUCUGUAGCUGGCCUGAGAGGACGACCAUCCACACUGGACUUAGACACGGCCCAGAGUCCUACGGGAGGCAGCAGUGGGGAAUUUUGGACAAUGGGCGCAAGCCUGAUCCAGCCAUGCCGCGUGCAGGAAGAAGGCCUUCUGGUUGUAAACUGCUUUUGUACGGAACGAAACGCGCUGAGUUAAUGCCUCGGCGUAAUGACGGUACCGUAAGAAUAAGCACCGGCUAACUACGUGCCAGCCGCCGCGGUAA